UGCUUAACCAUGCAAGUCGAACGAUGAACCGCUUUCGGGCGGGGAUUAGUGGCGAACGGGUGAGUAACACGUGGGCAAUCUGCCCUGCACUCUGGGACAAGCCCUGGAAACGGGGUCUAAUACCGGAUAUGACUGUCCAUCGCAUGGUGGAUGGUGUAAAGCUCCGGCGGUGCAGGAUGAGCCCGCGGCCUAUCAGCUUGUUGGUGAGGUAGUGGCUCACCAAGGCGACGACGGGUAGCCGGCCUGAGAGGGCGACCGGCCACACUGGGACUGAGACACGGCCCAGACUCCUACGGGAGGCAGCAGUGGGGAAUAUUGCACAAUGGGCGAAAGCCUGAUGCAGCGACGCCGCGUGAGGGAUGACGGCCUUCGGGUUGUAAACCUCUUUCAGCAGGGAAGAAGCGAAAGUGACGGUACCUGCAGAAGAAGCGCCGGCUAACUACGUGCCAGCAGCCGCGGUAAUACGUAGGGCGCAAGCGUUGUCCGGAAUUAUUGGGCGUAAAGAGCUCGUAGGCGGCUUGUCACGUCGGUUGUGAAAGCCCGGGGCUUAACCCCGGGUCUGCAGUCGAUACGGGCAGGCUAGAGUUCGGUAGGGGAGAUCGGAAUUCCUGGUGUAGCGGUGAAAUGCGCAGAUAUCAGGAGGAACACCGGUGGCGAAGGCGGAUCUCUGGGCCGAUACUGACGCUGAGGAGCGAAAGCGUGGGGAGCGAACAGGAUUAGAUACCCUGGUAGUCCACGCCGUAAACGGUGGGCACUAGGUGUGGGCAACAUUCCACGUUGUCCGUGCCGCAGCUAACG
rnacentral:rRNA from 1 species